GCGGUUAAAUUUCUGGCCACCCCCAGCUUGAUGAAAGCGGCUUAAAAGAUAGAUAGCGAAUAGGUAAAAGACGUAAGGGAAAACUGGUACAGGGGGUUUUAUCCUAAGUAUUAGCAGGACUUAUCAGGUUCGUGAACUAUGUAACUGGGAGAGAGGACCGGGAUUAGAUACCCCGUUACUUCCCUGCGUUAAGUAUAGCGAAACUUACUUUUUUAACAAAUUCAUGCUUGCCGGGCAACUACGUCUCAAGAGGUAAAAGUCGAAGUACUUGGCGGUCUAGUGAUUAACCAGCCUGUGAGACUUGACGGUUAAUCCGAUAGUCCGCGUAAAUUCUACUCUUUCUUGGAUUCAUCAGUCGGUGUAUGGCCGCCGCAGUGCUUUCUGUAAGGGAGUAGCGAGAUCCAUGCCCAUGUGAGUAUACAUGUAGGCAUAUUAGUGGAGCAAGACAGGUCGUCAUGCCGCCCAUGAAGGAGGCUUAGUUGAGUCACAUUGAUUAAAUCAAGCGGAACCGAGGAAGGAAGUAGCCCGGGGAAGAAGGAAUGGGUAGUAAGAAGAGAAUAAUUCGCUCUUCCGAAUCGUGAACUCCUAGGCGUACAAAUCGCCCGUCGUCCCCAGAGCCUAGGAAUUCCGGGGUAAGUCGUAACAUAGUAGGAGUACGGGAACGUGCCUCCUC
rnacentral:rRNA from 1 species